rnacentral:rRNA from 1 species
AUGGGGCUGCGGGACAUCGAGAUGACGCUGCCGCCGGGGUUCCGGUUCUACCCGAGCGACGAGGAGCUGGUGUGCCACUACCUGCUCAGCAAGGUGGCCAACCAGCGCCUCUCCGGAGGAGCCGCCGGGACCAUGGUGGAGGUCGAUCUGCACGUCCACGAGCCAUGGGAGCUGCCAGACGUGGCGAAGCUGACCACGAACGAGUGGUACUUCUUCAGCUUCCGUGACCGCAAGUAUACGACGGGGCUGCGCACCAACCGCGCCACCAGGUCCGGCUACUGGAAGGCCACCGGCAAGGACCGCGUCAUCCGCAGCCUGAGGUCGUCCUCUUCCCGCUCCGGUCGUGACGCCAUUGUCGGCAUGCGCAAGACCCUCGUCUUCUACCGCGGCCGCGCCCCCAACGGCAUCAAGACCUGCUGGGUCAUGCACGAGUUCCGUAUCGAGAACCCUCACUCCCCACCCAAGGCGGACUGGGUGCUGUGCAGAGUUUUCCACCAGAAGAAAGCCGACACGGAGUACGCCAUGGACGGCAAGCAGGAGCCCGGCGGCGGCGGCGUGGCUCACAAGGCUGCUGCCGUGAGCGGAUCCAACUACGUAAGCUCCUCGUCCUGCUACGAUCCGGAUCAGUAUCAGCACUCGCCUUCCGCGCCGUUCCCUUCCCUUGGCGCUGGCGGCCACCAUUACCAGAUCACGUCCUGUGAUCAUCACCACCCCGACGGUGCAGCAGGCGUCUUGCACAGCAAUGUGGACGCUUUCGCCGGCAUGCCGCAGCUGCUGAGCUACGAAACUACCCUCGACUUCAGCCAGCUACCCCAGGGCGGCGGCAGUGCAGCGGCGGGUUUGAGAGACGGCGCCGAUGAUCAGUGUGGCGGGGCGCUGAUGGAUCUAGGGCUGCAGGUGCAGGAGGCGCACUACAACUACAACAGCUUGAUGUAG